rnacentral:rRNA from 1 species
CCUACGGGUGGCAGCAGUGAGGAAUAUUGGUCAAUGGUCGGAAGACUGAACCAGCCAAGCCGCGUGAGGGAUGAAGGUACAGAGUAUUGUAAACCUCUUUUGUCAGGGAACAAAGGCGGGGACGUGUCCCCGACUGAGUGUACCUGAAGAAAAAGCAUCGGCUAACUCCGUGCCAGCAGCCGCGGUAAUACGGAGGAUGCGAGCGUUAUCCGGAUUUAUUGGGUUUAAAGGGUGCGCAGGCGGUCUGUUAAGUCAGCGGUCAAAGCCCGGGGCUCAACCCCGGCCCGCCGUUGAAACUGGCAGUCGAGAGUUGGAGAGAGGUAUGCGGAAUGCGCGGUGUAGCGGUGAAAUGCUUAGAUAUCGCGCAGAACUCCGAUUGCGAAGGCAGCAUGCCGGCUCCACACUGACGCUGAGGCACGAAAGCGUGGGUAUCGAACAGGAUUAGAUACCCGUGUAGUC